rnacentral:rRNA from 1 species
CAUCAUGAUUUAGCAAGUAAAAUGCAAGCAAAGAGACCUUUAGUUUGUAACCCCGAAACUGAGCGAGCUACUCCAGGACAGCCUAUUAUUAGGGCAAACCCGUCUCUGUGGCAAAAGAGUGGGAAGAUCUUUGGGUAGAGGUGACAAACCUACCGAGCACAGUAAUAGCUGGUUGCCUGGGAAUUGAAUAGAAGUUCAGCCCUUUAAGUUUUCCUAACCACACAAGCAACGCUCACACUGGUAAAGAUAGCUAAAGGAGUUAGUCAGAAAGGGUACAGCCUUCCUGACAAGAGACACAACUUUUACAGGUGACACAAGAUCAUAAUACUAGAGGACUUCAAAUUAAGUGGGCCUGAAAGCAGCCAUCUUAACAGAAAGCGUUAAAGCUCAAAUUAAGUCUAAUCCCCGUAUUCUGAUACAAAAUCUUCCUCCCUGCCCCCUACCAGGCUGUCUUAUGCCCCCAUAAGAGCAAUUAUGCUAAAAUGAGUAAUAAGAAGACACGAUCUUCUCCUAGCACAUGUGUAAGUUGGAACGGACCCCCCACCGACUGUUAAUCGACCCCACCCCCAGAGGGGAUAAAGCAACACCCACAAGAAAGACACUUUAUUCGUAUCGUUGACCCCACACAGGCGUGCCCGAAGGAAAGACUAAACGAGGGGGAAGGAACUCGGCAAACAAAAGCCCCGCCUGUUUACCAAAAACAUCGCCUCUUGCCCUCCCCUCAUAAGAGGUCCCGCCUGCCCUGUGACUAUAUGUUUAACGGCCGCGGUAUUUUAACCGUGCGAAGGUAGCGUAAUCACUUGUCUUUUAAAUGAAGACCUGUAUGAAUGGCAUCACGAGGGCUUAACUGUCUCCCCCCUCCAGUCAAUGAAAUUGACCUCCCCGUG